UACGUAGGAUGCAAGCGUUGUCCGGAAUUAUUGGGCGUAAAGAGCGUGUAGGCGGCUUUACAGGUCCGUUGUGAAAACUCGAGGCUCAACCUCGAGACGCCGGUGGAAACCGUAAGGCUAGAGUCCGGAAGAGGAGAGUGGAAUUCCUGGUGUAGCGGUGAAAUGCGCAGAUAUCAGGAGGAACACCCGUGGCGAAAGCGGCUCUCUGGGACGGUACUGACGCUGAGACGCGAAAGCGUGGGGAGCAAACAGG
rnacentral:rRNA from 1 species